UUUGUGUAUACGUGUUGCUUCUCCUUUGCUUCACCGCUUUUUUAUCCAAUCGAAUUCCGAUCUGUGUAAUCCCUCUUCCCCUUCUUCCAAACUGCUUCCACUUACCAAUAUCUUCCCGAUUAUUCUAAUUUUUAACCUGAUUUUCUUCUACUUCAUCUACCGUCCUAUCUCACUUUCUCUCAAUCGAUCAUCAGGUGCUCAGAAAUCACAGAAGGUUCCCAUCGAUCUCCUCCCAUCGGUUCUCAUCUUUACCCUCCUUCUCUACAUGCUCCGUUGGUGAGUUCGUCGGCUUCUAUGCGCCUUCUCUCAGGAGGACGCGAUGGCAAACUGGUGUAUAGGCAGCGGAUAUCUCUACUUCUCUUUGUUGAUGAUUCUCACGAAAUUAGUUCCCUAUUCGCAUUUGAUGUUCUUCCUACUAACUUGAAAUUGUUGAUGCUUCAUGAAUGAUCUUCUUCUGCUACUAUCGAUGGUGUCCAAGACAGGCCUAAGAGGUUGGCAAAAAAACCCCUAUUUAUUGGUUUAGGUCUUUUUUGGUUCUUCCUUCACCGAUUUCCGUCUGUUCCCGCCGUUGAUUACUGAUUUGGGCGUGAUGAAGCCUACAACAACUGAUUUCGGUUGCUUCUUGGUUGGCAUGUCUUCUCUUUUUGGGUUUACUUUCAUAUCUGUUGUUUCUGCAAUUGGAGAAUGCGAGCACGAAAAAGAACACCGAGUGGUUGGUAGUUACGAACGAGGAGGAUUUCAUCAUCACCACUCACCACCUGAUGCACUGCAUCGCCCUUGAUGUUGUAAUGAGAUUUGAAGGAGAGUUUGAGUAUGCACCCCAACUGGUCGAUGAAAUGCUUGAACUAUGUUAUAAAUACAAUCGGGUGCUGACAGAUUGAGGCCAUAUGCAGUAAUCCCUCCACGAAAGAACAUUUGGGAAUCAGAGAGGGAAAAAUUACAGAGGACCCACUUGACUGGAAUGACUACAAGUCCAUGAAAUUCAUUCGUGCGGUGGUGGUGACGCAGAUGAUAUGAGACCUCCAGAUUUGCAACCACAAAAGAAAUAGAACUACACGUUUGAGAAUAUAUAUCCUGUGCCUAUAGAAUUCAGAAAGAAUCAACAGUGAUUCUUCAUUUUGGAUGAAAUGGUUUUUUAUGGGGCUGAGGUUGACUUUAGGGUUUGACCUACCAUGGGACUUUUAGAGCUUUAGUGGUAUAAGGAAGGUUUUUAUCCGAUUCCAACCGCCACAACCUUCAACGUCUUCCUUCUGUGCUCGACGUAUAUACGAUUCCAUGGUUGGAAGGGCAGACACCGAUGCACUACUGGAGAGGGCAAUUUAUUUUUCCUUUUAAGUGACUAUUGCUACAUUUGCGUUGGUUGAGAAGAAGACUAUCAGAGGUGAAACAGUUUCGGUUCUUACAGUUCAUGUUCGAAAUCAAUAACAACAUGCUUUUAUUUAUUUGAGUGAUAUACUAUUCCAUCCACAUUAUGCAUAUUAAUGUAUGUUCAUGACAUUGAUGUGUCAUACUGUUUAUGUUAAGGUACAUUAGUUAGAUGAUUUUGAGUUGUUUUUUAUUGUAGUGCAUUUUGGUGUUAGUUAGGUUGUUUUCCAGUUGGGAUCUCUUCAAACUUCAUAUAAAACGCAUGUUGUACCAAAAAUGAUGACAUGGCACGAGUGUCGCCACGUCAUCAUCUAACUCCUAUAAUAUAUUUAUGUAUAUUCGACGUUUUGCUUUAAACGGUAAAAAACAUAUAACUUGGUUGCUAUCUUUAGUUAAAAGUUAAAAAAAAUAUCUGAAAGAUGAGCCUUAUACAUCUAAUGAAAUUGAGAUAAUCACUGGUAAAAGCUUCGAUUCCAUAAUUCUUGACUAUGCCUCUUCACUGGAUGUGAUAAAAGUUGCCACACAUUACAAGUUAUUCCAGGUAACCUCACAAAAUACCAAGCUACUUUCUCAUGUAUUCCAUCAAUUACUUUUUUUUUUUGCUUUAAAAAACUUUCAUUUGUGAUUAUUUUUUAGACCAUUGUAUAGUUAACAUUUUUUUUGUAAAUUUGUUCAAUUAGAGAGCCUUCCAUGUAUACUCGGCAGCGAAACGUGUAUAUGCUUUCAAGGAUGUGGUGUCAUCAAAUUCUGAGUGAGUCUAACUAUUUUCUACGAUUUUAUAUUUUUUUUUAUAAAUAAACUUUGUUUAUAUCUUUUUAAAGUCCGGAAUAUGGGUAAUAUUGGAAUUAUUUUUGCAUUGAACAUGAGAAGUUAAAGAACCUUGAUGAUCUUAUGAAUGACAAUCACCAUAGUUCCAGUGUUCUAUUUGAGUGUAGGUUUAUGCUUUAUUUUUCCUUUCAAAUUUUUUUUUUCCUGUUACUCGGUUUUAUCGGUUUAAAUGUUGUUAACAAAAAGCAAAUUAAGGUUGUUACCGGAAGUUCACCCUUUUUGAUGAUAGUAAUUUCAAUUUCAGAAUUUUAUGAAUUGUAUUUGUUGUGCUUUUUCCAGUUAAAUGUAAUUUGAAUUUCG